rnacentral:tRNA from 1 species
UGAAAAGUGGUUCAGUGGUAGAGUGCUUGCCUUUCAUGCAUGAGGCCCUGGGUUUGAUUCCUCAGCAUAACAU